GGAGGGUGUAGCUCAAUUGGUAGAGUGCAUGCUUAACAUGCAUGAGGUCCUGGGUUCAAUUCCCAGUACCUCCA
rnacentral:tRNA from 1 species